rfam:Ovis aries breed Texel chromosome 14, whole genome shotgun sequence.
UCCCUGGUGGCUCAGAUGGUAAAGUGUCUGUCUGCAAUGCAGGAGACCUGGGUUUGAUCCCUGGGUUGGGAA